GACGAACGCUGGCGGCGUGCUUAACACAUGCAAGUCGAACGGUAAGGCCCUUCGGGGUACACGAGUGGCGAACGGGUGAGUAACACGUGGGUGAUCUGCCCUGCACUUCGGGAUAAGCCUGGGAAACUGGGUCUAAUACCGGAUAGGACCACUGCCUGCAUGGGUGGUGGUGGAAAGCUUUUGCGGUGUGGGAUGGGCCCGCGGCCUAUCAGCUUGUUGGCGGGGUGAUGGCCUACCAAGGCGACGACGGGUAGCCGGCCUGAGAGGGUGACCGGCCACACCGGGACUGAGGUACGGCCCAGACUCCUACGGGAGGCAGCAGUGGGGAAUAUUGCACAAUGGGCGCAAGCCUGAUGCAGCGACGCCGCGUGAGGGAUGACGGCCUUCGGGUUGUAAACCUCUUUCAGCACCGACGAAGCGCAAGUGACGGUAGGUGCAGAAGAAGGACCGGCCAACUACGUGCCAGCCGCCGCAGUAACAC
rnacentral:rRNA from 1 species